GGGAUACAUUUUAAGGGAAGGGGAGUUUAAAAAAGUGAAUGCUUUUAUUCUAAGUAUACCUUUUAUUCUAUAUUCUGUAUUACCUUUUGGAGAACGUUACAUCACUCAGAAAAAUAAAGUAACUCCCAAUAUGUAUCUAUUUAGGAUUAAUAUUUUUAAAUAGUUUUGGUUUGAAAAUGUAUUCAUUCACUCAAAAGUAGGUACAGCUUUAGACCUAGACUUUGAGUUGUCCGUUUGUGAUGGUCUUUUAAAUUGUGGUUUUAAUAAGGAGAAAGACGUGUGACAGUGUCCUGUGACUGCUGCUGUCCACGUUUAUGAAAACAGUAUGUCCUCAGAGUGAUGUGGGGUUGGUGAGAAGUUCUUCUGAUUCUGCGGCCUCAGUGAGUUUAAGAGAAGUUUCUUAUGUAGUCUUAGCUUUUCCGUACCAGCUUUCUUUCAUCAACCUUUCCUAACAAUAAAGAAGAAGAAAAUAGCAACAGUUUUAUUUCCCCUGGUUUACCUUUCUUAUUUCUGUGACUACAUGACACCAAAGUAACUGGUUGGGAAACCAAUUCAGAUGACCAGUUGCUAGUUUUCACAACUUCUGAUCAAACUCUCAGUUGGACUGACAUUUAUUACCAGUGAAAAGACUGAAUAUUUGGAUUCCUGUGGAGUCAGCCUUUGUCUCUUCCCAUUUUCCACAGUUCUCCAAUUUUUCCCUCUUACUACCCAGUUUCCUCCAAUUGUUUCCUACUGCGUUUAGGGGAAUUUCUUCCUUAUGGUUCUGAAUCUUUGGAAUUACAAGAGACAUGAGAACAGGGCUUCUCAUCGAGGUUAUGUUUUCCCAUGUCCACUAUUAAAUAGUUUUUUCUAUCAUGAAAGCAAACAUAGGAAGAAACCAACAUAUCUGAGAUCCAUAAAGGUGAACCCCUACCCCCUUUUUUCAAAACUUCAUUUUGUGCAGAAAGGCAACAUUAAAAACUUUUCCUCCAUAUAUUCUGUCUACGAAAGCUCUAUAAAGAUGAGAAAUAUGAUAUAGUUAUGCAGCUCUUCUAUGUUAGGGACAUAGCAUGUGCAUGUCGGCAUUUAGCUGCUGUCAGUAUUUUCGCUGCAGGGAUAUUCAGCAGGAACGAGAAUCAGCACCCAGAACCUGGUUGCCACAACACAAGGAUACACUGUUCUUCUCAGUCCUAGAGAUGUCGACUUGCCUUGCAUCCAGCUUUUCUUAGGUGUGGCCAGUGGUGGCUUGUUAGCGGGCCUGAUACCUGAUGUUCUGAUCAGUCUGUCUGAAACUGUCUUCUUCCUUCUAUAUUAGGAGAAGAUACAUUUUGAAUGUUUCAUCAGUAAUCAAAUAACCAACAUGUGGGAUAUACAGGACAUAAGGGAACUAACAAUCAAACACCAGUUACUGAAUACUCCAUGACACCCGUGGAAUGCGGCCAGGAAACGUGAAGCGUAUGACGGAUAGUACGCAAAAGAGAAAUAACUGAGAAGUCACAGAGUUAAGGCAAGUUUUAAGUCUCCUUUAAAUGCCUUGGAGCAAAACAGGCCAAUUACAGCUUUUGUUUGAAUGAAUCCAUCCAGUAGGAACUUCUGUCAAUAUGCAGGGAAAUCUACAUCAUUGCUACUCAAAGUGUGGUCCACAGACCAGCAGCAUCAGCAUCAGCAUCACCGAAGACCUUUUUAGAAAUAUAGACUCUUGGGGCCCAUUCCACACCUACUGAAUCAGAAGUUGCAUUUUAGCAAGGUCUGCAGGUAAUUGAGAAACACUGAUUUAGGUCAUGGUUAGAAUUAAGACUACUUUAUCUGUUUUAGUUCAGCUGCUUCAGGUUUUGAAUGCUGGAGUCCUUCCUCCUUGCCUCCCCCGCCCCCUUCUUGUUCUUCAUUUUCAUGAAACAUUUGGGAGAACAUUGCUAAAGAAAAAAGUUUCAAAUUUUUUUGAGACAACAGAAGAAAAAGAGCACCACUUUAUAACUUUGUCCAACUCCAAAUUGAGAUUCAAUGAAAGGGAAAAUAUAAAAUAGCUCCAGUCGUUUGCAUACAAUAUAUGGCUUGAACUUUGUUCUGUAUAAGGCUUUGUCUCCAAAUAAAACAAUUGUAUGAAAAACCCCACUAACUUCAUCUUCUUUAAUUUUCUGUGGUCUCUCCGUCCCUUCCAGCUGUGAAAUGCCUAUUUUCUUUUCCUCAGUCUCUUUCUCUCAUGCCUCCCCUCGCUCGCCCCCUCUUCCAGCUGGUAACAGUUUAUGAAGCAUGUUGCAGUGUUAAUACCGUGUUAAGGUGCUUUCAGCUGUUGGGUCUUUGAGACGUCAACGUCAGGACUGUUUUACUGUGAACGCUUGGCGGGUAGGGUAAAUCUGGGGACAUGCUGAACUUCUAGCUCCUCACCCUGUAGGAAGCCUUACAGCUAUAGGCACCUCUCCCAUAAUGCAGUGUUGCUGGCUGGAAAUAUUCAUCGUCCAGAUCUCCAGCUGUGAGGAGAGAAAGAGGGUCCAUCCAUGUUGCUGCAAAUGGCAAGAUUUCAUUCUUUUUAAUGGGUCAUGAAACAUAUGGCCUAUAAAAUCAUUCCCAUUGGGAAAGAAUGGCAGAAAAGUCAUCCUCCUUUGAAGAUAAGUUUAAUUAAAAAGUAAAUUCCAGGGGCUGGCCUGGUGGUGAAGCACGUUCCGCUUCAGCAGCCUGGGGUUCGCCGGUUUGGAUCCCAGGUGCUGACCUAUACACCGCUUGUCAAGCCAUGCCGUGGCAGGCGUCCCACAUGUAAAGAAGAGGAAGAUGGGCAUGGAUGUUAGCUCAGGGCCAGUCUUCCUCAGCAAAAAGAGGAGGAUUAGUGGCAGAUGUUAGCUCAGGGCUAAUCUUCCUCAAAAAAAAAAAAAAAAAAAGUAAAUUCCAUCCUCUCAACAUCACAUCAGUGAUUGCUGCACAAUAACAUUGUUCAUAGCAAAAUUCCUGAUUGUUACUCAUUUUGUUUUUUAAAGCAAAUGCUGUCAUUGAGGAUUAAAAAUGUUUUUUUCAAUUAUACAAAUACAAAAAUGUUUAUUUUUAACUCAUCUAUAACAUUUUACAUGUACUUUUAAAUAGUUGUUUAAAAUAGUUGGAAAUAGGAUUUCUAAAUUAAUCAUUGUUUUAAAUAGUUUGGAUUAAGAUUUCUGAAUACUGGAUCUCCUGUGAAAUGAGGGAGUGGAGGGCAGAAUGUUUAUAAUAAAGUGCUUUACAUACUAAUCAUCUAGAAUGGGAUAGAAUAAACUGUUUCAAAUAUCCUUCCAGUUGUAAUGAUAGGAUGUUUUUAGGUAAAUUUACAGAAUUUGUUUUAUUUUACAAAUUGAUUGGUGUAUUCAUCAUUCACAGAUUUAUUAGUGAAAGCUGGAUUCUAAAUGACUUUCCUAUGAUAAGCUUUCCAAUUAAUUCUUCUCACACUGUUUUCCUGGUGACACUUGAACUUCCUUCAUUAUAUAAAACACAUCUGGAGUGAGACAUUGCUGAAUAAUAAUCAUGGAUGCUAACGUGUUAAGUAUUGGACCCCUGACAUAGUCAAAUGUGUUCUGGUUUAAAACAAUGACCUCAACUAAUGCUGCUUUAAGCGAACCACAUUUAGCAAGAAUAUAUAGGCAUGUCUGUUGAGCUCGCCUGUCUUGCGCUAGAAUUGGUCAAAAAGAGAGAAAUCAAAUUGCAAACUGUCUCCUUUGUGUAAUAGAGUUGGCUAUAUUAAGUCAUAUUUUUCCUCUCAUCAGCAAAUAUUUUUUCUUCUCUCUUGUCUUAUAUGAAAAAUAUUGCAAUAAGUAAAUAUUAAAAAAGGAUUAUCUAAAACAUAUGUUAAAUUAUGUAUUACUUAAAAUUUACAUUUGUAUCAUAGGGUUACUGAAUUUUUUCUGUGGUGUAUUUCAUAAAAGAGAAGAUGCUGAUAAGAUCUUGUUUAAAUGGCUUGCUAAUACAAGAAGCAGAUCAUUUAAAAUGAAACUUACAUCUUUAUAGGAUGUUAGAAAUGAAGACAUUACUUCAAAAUGUAGGUAAUUAUUGCCUCCUCUUUUAUCAGUGCUAUUUUCUGAGGUAUUAUCAUAAGAGAGCACUUUAGUAUUAAACACAGCCUUCGAGUGGCUAUAAAUCAGGCCAACUGAGUCAUCAUUGUCUAAGGCAUCUGAACUACUGCAAUGUUGUGGAUCCUACCGAGAGUGUGAAAUCACUUGACCCUUGGCAUUAACCUUCGCUGAAUGAAUAGACACUGCUUUCCACAUUGAGGAACAAAGCAGAAGACUAUUGAUUAAACACCACAUUCACUUGAUAUUAAAUACCGGCUGAACUCACUUCUUGCUUCCAGUUCCAGAGGGAGAAACCCAGAGAGUUGCUGAGUCUCAGGAGAAUGGAUGUUUGUAAUUCAGAGCAAUGUUUUUCCUGCAAAGUACUUUUUUUCUCCUUUGAUCAAUACCUAGCAGCCAUGAUCAGCCAUGAGUAUGUAUUGUCAAUUCUGACCUGUGUAUUUUAUCACUUAAGGUGAGAGGUCACAGUGCUGUGACUAAUAUUUCAGUUCUCAGCAUGAAUUGUUUCCUGACUUCAAUAUCUGUGUGAAGCAGCCAUUUCUUUCAUUUCAUUUCUUGUUUAUGAAUCAUUUUUUUUGACAGUUGAUUUGCCUGCAUUAAUAAAACACAUUAUUUAAAACAAAUUUUUUUAAUCACUGUUUUUGCAGAUGGUGAAUUUUCUAGAACUUGACAUUAUUAGAAGAAAUCAUAAUCACAGGACGUUUUAUGAUUUAUGGUUUAUGUUAUUUGGGAAAGAGAAACAUAGUUCAAUAAAUUUCUCAAGUUAGAAGAAAGCAAAAGCUUUGGAAGAGAGUACAGUGAUGCUUAUGAGUGUAAAGGGAACAAUAAAAGAUAUUUUACAGGAAGUCUUAAGCUAAUUGUCCUCUGAUCCACUGCUUGUACCUACACUAUUGACAACAGUUUGACAGCUUCUUGGUAGACUUACUUUAUCCAGAAGGUGAACAUUUAUUGUUGACAUAUAAAUUAAUUCAAUUCAUAGAACUAGAAUUAAGUUUAAAAUUUUAGCCACAAACAAGAAAAGCAUUUACACCUUAAAUUUAAAUAGUUUCUAUGUGCUUAUAAACUGGAAUUACUUUAUUGCAGGAAGCAACAGAAAUAGCUACAAUUUCUUUCUUCUCUCUCAAAGUUUUCAUAUUAUUUUGGAACAAAUAAUUACAUAUUAUCUGGCCUGGAUAUUGCACGAGUAAAACUCUUUAUAAAUAAUUGUUUUCCUUGCUAUAGGUUUUGACUGGCUUGUGUUCAACACUGAGGAUUCUAGAUCAGCUCGUUGUGAGUUUGUCAUGGUUAAGCAAAGAUCAUUACUUGUCUGAAUAAUCGAAAAUAUUUCCUCUAAGGACAUAAUGGUGUAAUUUAAUACACACGAUCUCACACAGUUUGCACGAUGUUAGAAAAGGAAUAUU
ensembl:lncRNA